AGUUAAGGUAAUAAGGGCAAUUGGUGAAUGCCUUGGUAGUAGAUAGCGAAGAAGGGCGUGACAAGCUGCGAAAAGCCACGAUGAGGAGCAAAUAGCCGUAGAGUCGUGGAUACCCGAAUGGGGCAACCCGUAGUCCGAGGGGACUACAUCCCGAAAGGGAGGCGAACCCAGCGAAGUGAAACAUCUCAGUAGCUGGAGGAAAAGAAAGCGAAGCGAUAGCGUAAGUAGCGGUGAGCGAAAGCGCUGAAGGCCAAAACACAUACAUGUCAAGCGUGCGGGCGUUGUGUAUGUGUGGUAGCGGGAACAAAAUAGACGAACCGUAAAACAGUCGGACUCACAGAAUAUGUAUAGCAGAAUAACCUGGGAAGGUUAGCCGAAGAGAGUGAAAGCCUCGUAAGCGAAAUGCAUGUUCGGAGUUUUUUGUAUCCCAAGUAGCACUCAACACGAGAAAUUGAGUGUGAAUCCGGGGGGACCACUCUCCAAGCCUAAAUAUAUCUACUGACCGAUAGAGAAGAGUACCGUGAGGGAAAGGUGAAAAGCACCCCGGGAGGGGAGUGAAAUAGAACCUGAAACCGAUUGCCUACAAGAAGAGGGAGCGCAAGUGACCUCGUGCCUUUUGAUUAAUGUGCCUACGAAUUAUCGUAUAUAGCGAGAUUAAGCUGAGAAAAGUGUAGUCGAAGGGAAACCGAGUCUGAACAGGGCGACAUAGUUAUGUGCGAUAGACCCGAAACCAAGUGAGCUACCCAUGUCCAGGGAGAAGGUGGGGUAAGACCCAUUGGAAGACCGAACCAGUUUGUAGUAAAAAACAAUUGGAUGAGAUGUGGGUAGGAGUGAAAAGCUAACCGAACUUGGUGAUAGCUGGAACUCUCCGAAACGUAUUUAGGUACGGCCUCGUAAUCAAAACUUAUGGAGGUAGAGCACUGAAUGGGUGAGGGGGGCAACCUCUGAUCUCAAUCAAACUCCGAAUGCCAUAAGUGGAUUUACGGGAGACAGCCUGCGGGGGAUAAGCUCCGUAGACAAAAGGGAAACAACCCAGACCAACAGCUAAGGUCCCAAAGAUAUGACUAAGUGUAUAAGGAAGUGAAGAGUCGAAGACAGCUGGGAGGUUGGCUUAGAAGCAGCCAUCCUUAAAAGAGUGCGUAACAGCUCACCAGUUGAGACCCUUUGCGCCGAAGAUACAGGGGGCUAAAGUCAUACACCGAAGCUAUGGAAUCGAAAGAUUGGUAGGAGAGCAAUGUAUAGUAGGGCGAAGCCGUUUCGUGAGGAAUGGUGGACGAAAUACAAGAGCGGAUGUAGGCAUGAGUAACGAGAAGAUGGUGAGAAUCCAUCUCCCCUAAAGCCCAAGGGUACCUGGGGAAGGGUCGUCCUCCCAGGGUAAGCCGGUCCUAAGGUGAAUCUGAAAAGAGUAGCCGAUGGAAAACAGGUAAAUAUUCCUGUGCCAGUGUAUAGAGAAUUGCAAGCGGGAACGCAGGAGGAAAAGCUCCGCGAACAAGUGGCAAAUUCGUCCAAGCUUCGAGCCGAUGAGAUGUGCAGUAAAGUACACACAUUGAGGGAAGAAGUGAAGGGGAGUUCUUCGAAGGAAGAACAACGGGGCAGAAAUCACACUGCCAAGAAAAGCCGCGUGCCGUAUUGACCUAUACAUUGACCGUUCUGUAAACCGACACAGGUGGGCAAGCUGAGAAGGCUAAGGGGAGCGAGACAACCUCCGCUAAGGAACUAGGCAAAAUAACCCCGUAACUUCGGGAGAAGGGGUGCUCUCACAGGUUUAGAGCUAGUGAGAGCCGCAGUGACAAGAUUCUGGCGACUGUUUACCAAAAACACAGGACUCUGCCAAUUCGAAAGAAGAAGUAUAGGGUCUGACGCCUGCCCAGUGCUGGAAGGUUAAGUGGAGAUGUUAACUUCGGUGAAGCAUUGAAAUCAAGCCCCAGUAAACGGCGGCCGUAACUAUAACGGUCCUAAGGUAGCGAAAUUCCUUGUCGGGUAAGUUCCGACCUGCAUGAAUGGUGUAACGAUCAGAAUACUGUCUCAGCGGAGGGCUCGGUGAAAUUACACACUUGGUGAAGAUGCCAAGUACCCGCGAUUAGACGGAAAGACCCCGUGGAGCUUUACUGUAGCCUGGUAUUGUGUAUUGUUGUAAGAUGUACAGGAUAGGUGGGAGACUAAGAUAUGACAUCGUAAGGUGUUGUUGAGUCGCUGUUGGGAUACCACCCUUCUUACAACGGUGCACUAACGAAAGAAUGUGAAGAGCAUUUUUCGGACAGUGCCAGGUGGGCAGUUUGACUGGGGCAGUCGCCUCCUAAAAAGUAAUGGAGGCGCGCGAAGGUAGGCUCAGGCUGGUUGGAAAUCAGCUGUAGAGUGUAAGGGCAAAAGCCUGCCUGACUGAGAGAGAGACAACUCGAACAGGAACGAAAGUUGGUCUUAGUGACCAGGCGGUGCUGUGUGGAAAGGCCGUCGCUCAACGGAUAAAAGUUACCCCGGGGAUAACAGGCUGAUACCACCCGAGAGUUCAUAUCGACGGUGGUGUUUGGCACCUCGAUGUCGGCUCAUCGCAUCCUGGGGCUGAAGCGGGUCCCAAGGGUUGGGCUGUUCGCCCAUUAAAGCGGUACGUGAGCUGGGUUCAGAACGUCGUGAGACAGUUCGGUCCCUAUCUGUCGUGGGCGCAGGAUACAUGAGGAGAGUCUCUCCCAGUACGAGAGGACCGGAGAGAGUAGACCCCUGGUGAAUCAGUUGUGAUGCCAAUUGCAAAAGCUGAGUAGCUAAGUCUAUGAAAGAUAAGCGCUGAAAGCAUCUAAGCGCGAAGCGAACUUCAAGAUUAGGUAUCCCAUCCUUAAUGGAGUAAGGGCAGUCCGAGACUAGGACAUUGAUAGGCCACAAGUGGAAGUUCAGUGAUGAAUGUAGCUGAGUGGUACUAAUAGCCCGAGGCCUUAACUAA
rnacentral:rRNA from 1 species